rnacentral:rRNA from 1 species
AACGAACGCUGGCGGCAUGCCUAACACAUGCAAGUCGAACGGGAUCCUAGCUUGCUAGGUGAGAGUGGCGGACGGGUGAGUAACGCGUGGGAAUCUGCCUUUUGGUUCGGGAUAACCGCGGGAAACUGCGGCUAAUACCGAAUGCCCUCGAGAGAGGAAAGAUUUAUCGCCAGAAGAGGAGCCCGCGUCCGAUUAGGUAGUUGGUGGGGUAAAGGCCUACCAAGCCGACGAUCGGUAGCUGGUCUGAGAGGAUGAUCAGCCACACUGGGACUGAGACACGGCCCAGACUCCUACGGGAGGCAGCAGUGGGGAAUAUUGGACAAUGGGGGCAACCCUGAUCCAGCAAUGCCGCGUGAGUGAUGAAGGCCUUAGGGUUGUAAAGCUCUUUUGCCAGGGAAGAUGAUGACUGUACCUGGAGAAUAAGCCCCCGGCUAACUUCGUGCCAGCAGCCGCGGUAAU